GUAUAUAACCACAUUCGGCAGCACAUGUACUACAAUUGGAACGAUACAGAGAAGAUUAGCAAGGCCCCUGCGCAAAUAAAAUAAAAUAAAAAAAGAAGUAGUUCCAAUGUUU